GAUGAACGCUGGCGGCGUGCUUAACACAUGCAAGUCGAACGGACUUUACAUGAAACCUAGUGAUUGUAAAGUUAGUGGCGGACGGGUGAGUAACGCGUGAAUAACCUGCCUUAUACUGGGGGACAACAGUUGGAAACGACUGCUAAUACCGCAUAAGCGCACAGUUCUGCAUGGAACAGUGUGAAAAACUCCGGUGGUAUAAGAUGGAUUCGCGUCUGAUUAGAUAGUUGGUGAGGUAACGGCUCACCAAGUCGACGAUCAGUAGCCGGCCUGAGAGGGUGAACGGCCACAUUGGGACUGAGACACGGCCCAAACUCCUACGGGAGGCAGCAGUGGGAAUAUUGCACAAGUGGGGAACCCUGAUGCAGCGACGCCGCGUGAGUGAAGAAGUAUUUCGGUAUGUAAAGCUCUAUCAGCAGGGAAGAAAAUGACGGUACCUGACUAAGAAGCCCCGG
rnacentral:rRNA from 1 species